rnacentral:rRNA from 1 species
UACGAAGGGGGCUAGCGUUGCUCGGAAUUACUGGGCGUAAAGGGCGCGUAGGCGGAUAUUUAAGUUGGGGGUGAAAUCCCGGGGCUCAACCUCGGAAUUGCCUUCAAAACUGGAUAUCUUGAGUGCGGAAGAGGGUCGUGGAAUUCCCAGUGUAGAGGUGAAAUUCGUAGAUAUUGGGAAGAACACCGGUGGCGAAGGCGGCGACCUGGUCCGUGACUGACGCUGAGGCGCGAAAGCGUGGGGAGCAAACAGG